rnacentral:misc_RNA from 1 species
AACGCACGAGACCUGCGGACCUGCGGAAGGAUCAUCGCAGAAACACACACAAACAGGGGGGGGGGCGCACGCGUGUGCUCCUCUCCCUGAACAAACAAACACACAGGACUAGGAAAGCAAAGCAGCAGCGAGCGGGGGCCGGCUGUGGUUUGGCGGGCCGGCCCGGCUUGGCUUGGAUCCAAAAGUUCUUGUCUGAUAAAGUCGCUUGUUGGUUUGGUGAUUGCAAAACAAUACAAUACA